CCUACGGGAGGCAGCAGUGAGGAAUCUUGGUCAAUGGGCGCUAGCCUGAACCAGCCAAGUAGCGUGAAGGAUGACUGCCCUAUGGGUUGUAAACGUCUUUUAUAUGGGAAUAAAGUGUAGUAUGUAUACAGCUUUGCAUGUACCUUAUGAAUAAGGAUCGGCUAACUCGGUGCCAGCAGCCGCGGUAAUACGGAGGAUCCGAGCGUUAUCCGGUGUUAUUGGGUAUAAAGGGAGCGUAGGGGGAUUGUUAAGUGAGUUGUGAAAGUUUGCUGCGCAACCGUCAAAUUGCAGUUGAUACUGGCAACGUCGAGUACAGUAGAGGUAGGCGGAAUUCGUGGUGUAGCGGUGAAAUGCUUAGAUAUCACGAAGAACUCCGAUUGCGAAGGCAGCCUGCUGGACUGUAACUGACGCUGAUGCUCGAAAGUGUGGGUAUCAAACAGGAUUAGAUACCCGGGUAGUC
rnacentral:rRNA from 1 species